CAGAACACUAACAUAUCCUCUCUUCUCAUCUGUGUUGCAUGUGCAGACAAGUAAGAACAAAUGAGGUCAACGGUGAUGAAAAGCCAAAGUUUCCCUUCCUUCUCCCCCAAGCAACCAUGGAUAGGCUUUGGCUGACUCCAGAUUGGUCUGCACUGUCUAUUGAUGGACUCACAAUAUGCUUGGAUUGAUGGUGUCAGUUCUCCACCCACAAAGGGGUGGAGCCAGGAUGUGAUAAUAGGAAGAAGGUGUGUCUUGCACUUUGCUGGUUCCUGCUUGCUGUUUGCAGCCGCCAUGAACUGUGGCCCAGCCAUGCC